GCCUUGGUGGUGUAGUGGUCUGCAUGCUAGACGCGUAACCGAGAGGUCCGUGGUUCGAUUCCCGGCGAAGGCG
rfam:Stegodyphus mimosarum contig61351, whole genome shotgun sequence.